GGUAGUUUUUUGGUUUAGGGUUUGGUUAGCUUUUUGAUUUGUGAAGGGUUUAUUGUCAUUCUGAUUUUUUUUUUGUUUUUUUUUUUGGCUUGAUAAGUUUUCUGCUGACUAAGACACACCUUUAAGAAACAAUAACAUAUACACGCUAUGCUCAGUAUGCUAUGUCUGUUUAUUUGCUAUGUUUUAAACUAAUAACAUGAAUGUAUCUAUUGUUUUCAUUUCAAUUAAAAACAUAUAACAC
rnacentral:sRNA from 1 species